UGAACGUCGAGCAUUCCUUAAAAUUCAAAUUCCCUCUACAAAACUUCAUUUUCCUUUGGUUUUAGCCAAGUUACCGAUUAAGAUUCAAUAUGAGAGAAUUUGUUUCCUAAAACUAACCUUUUAUUUUAUUUAUUUAUUUUUCCUUUGAAACUCUCUUGGACAUUUUGGUUAUUAACCUUUUAUUAUUAUUAUUGUUAUUAUUUUUUUUUCCAUGUUAGAUGCAGCGUCUUGAACUUGGAUACGUUCAUGGUGGUUUUUGUUUUGAAGUCAGAGAAAUUUGGAGGCCGACAAAUUUGGAAACGAAAGCUCUAUCUGAAACAAUUUAUGCAUGAUGCGGCUAGAAUUGACCUGGGUUUUAUUGGUGGGAAAUACACCUAGGAUAAUAGACAGGGCGGACAAGCUCUAACAAGAGAAAGAUUAGACGGAGCAGUGGCGGAAAAAGAUUGGUUGGAGAUUAAUCCACAAGCAGCGGUUGAGCAUUUACCAUUUGAAGAAUCUGAUCAUUGUCCUAUUAUUAUUCGUUUGGAAGGGGAUCAAAGGAAGACAGGAAGACCUUUCAAAUUUUUGAAAGCUUGGACCUUGGACAAAUCUAGCUCCUAUGUUGUAGAGAAGGCCUGGAAUCCUGAUUGGCAGCCUGAAACAAACAGCUACUUAUUAAGAAAAAGCCUUAUUAAUACUUCGAAAGCUCUGAAAAUUUGGAAUAAAAAUAUUUUUGGAUUUGCUAAUUAGCAAAUACAAAAUUUAGAACAAGAA